AGUGAACGCUGGCGGUAGGCCUAACACAUGCAAGUCGAACGGCAGCACAGUAAGAGCUUGCUCUUACGGGUGGCGAGUGGCGGACGGGUGAGGAAUACAUCGGAAUCUACUUUUUCGUGGGGGAUAACGUAGGGAAACUUACGCUAAUACCGCAUACGACCUACGGGUGAAAGCAGGGGAUCUUCGGACCUUGCGCGAUUGAAUGAGCCGAUGUCGGAUUAGCUAGUUGGCGGGGUAAGGGCCCACCAAGGCGACGAUCCGUAGCUGGUCUGAGAGGAUGAUCAGCCACACUGGAACUGAGACACGGUCCAGACUCCUACGGGAGGCAGCAGUGGGGAAUAUUGGACAAUGGGCGCAAGCCUGAUCCAGCCAUACCGCGUGGGUGAAGAAGGCCUUCGGGUUGUAAAGCCCUUUUGUUGGGAAAGAAAAGCAGCAGGUUAAUACCCCGCUGCUCUGACGGUACCCAAAGAAUAAGCACCGGCUAACUUCGUG
rnacentral:rRNA from 1 species